GAUUAGCCCGGAUUGAGCGGCAUGUCUGAGCUCUUUUCUUUGGAUUUCAGCGCGGCGGCUUUGCCGCCGCGCUGAAAUCCAAAGAAAAAGCGAGUAGCGAAAGCCGGAAAUAGC
rnacentral:misc_RNA from 1 species